rnacentral:rRNA from 1 species
AGUGAACGCUGGCGGUAGGCCUAACACAUGCAAGUCGAACGGCAGCACAGUAAGAGCUUGCUCUUACGGGUGGCGAGUGGCGGACGGGUGAGGAAUACAUCGGAAUCUACUUUUUCGUGGGGGAUAACGUAGGGAAACUUACGCUAAUACCGCAUACGACCUACGGGUGAAAGCAGGGGAUCUUCGGACCUUGCGCGAUUGAAUGAGCCGAUGUCGGAUUAGCUAGUUGGCGGGGUAAAGGCCCACCAAGGCGACGAUCCGUAGCUGGUCUGAGAGGAUGAUCAGCCACACUGGAACUGAGACACGGUCCAGACUCCUACGGGAGGCAGCAGUGGGGUAUAUUGGACAAUGGGCGCAAGCCUGAUCCAGCCAUACCGCGUGGGUGAAGAAGGCCUUCGGGUUGUAAAGCCCUUUUGUUGGGAAAGGAAAGCAGCAGGUUAAUACCCCGCUGUUCUGACGGUACCCAAAGAAUAAGCACCGGCUAACUUCGUG